GAUGAACGCUGACAGCAUGCUUAACACAUGCAAGUCGACCGGAAUUAGGGUUUUUAUCUUCGGCUUGGGUUGCGGACGGGUGAGUAACUCGUAAAGAACUUGCCUCCCUGUUAGGGUCAAAUAUCGGCAACGAAUGGUAGUACCUAACAUUAUAUUUAUAGAGCCUCCUAUAUUUAUAAUAACUAUAAGCGCUGUUAUAACGCUUUGCGUCCCAUGAGCUACUUGGAGAGGUAGCGACUCGACAAGGAGAUGAUGGGUAGCCGGCCUGAGAGGGUGAUCGGCCACAAGGGGACAGAGACACGGCCCUUACUCAUACGGGAGGAAGCAGUGGGGAAUAUUGGACAAUGGACCAAGAGUCUGAUGAAGCAAUUCUGUGUGCACGAUGAAGUUUUUCGGAAUGUAAAGUGCUUUCAGUUGGGAAGAAAGAAAUGACGGUACCAACAGAAGAAGUGACGGCUAAAUACGUG
rnacentral:rRNA from 1 species